GCCAAUGUAGGAUAAUAAAAUCUAUGAUGUUUAGGUCAUCAAGAUAGCACUAAUGUGUCCUUUGGUU